AUUGGCUUUGUCGCGUCGAGUCAGGCACCGUCACUGCCACACGUUGCCAACGUCAUGCCCCGCUGGCUGCCGCCGCCGCCGCCGCCGGCGGCGGCGGCGGCUCGGCCCGCCGUUAUCUUCCCUCCCUUACCUUCCUCUCUAGGGUGUAUCAGGCCGGCGCUUCGUCGCGCCGUCGUGUUCAUACCCCGCUGAUUCCACUUUCCCCCCGCCGUGCGCCAUCGCCAGCAGCAAUAGGCCCGCCACGCUUACAGCGUUCCUUCGCCAGAGAUGUAUCCCUAAUGGCCAAUUAUCUCUCGGGAUGGUGCACCAUCCGCCCCUACGCCCUCGGCGUGUCGCCACGAGCUACCCUGCCGGAGCUCCGCCUGACUGACGAAUCAUCAACGUUCCGGGCAAAGCUGGUCACUCAGACUCCUGCAAAUGUGAUAAUUGCUGAGCUUAUCUUGAACAAAAACCACACAAAAAGUCAGAGCAGCGUUAGAUCGUCCAAGCCUCCAAGCAUCUUCAUACCAUUCUCCUUCUCUUCAUUGGCUCCAUAUGAAAGCAGCUCCUUCUUUUGAUCAUAGGGUGGAAGAAGUCUGAAUAGGUAUGACUCCCCUCCCAGUUUUCGUCCUCCUGUCAUUGGUUUGUUUAUGCAAAUCCGAUGACCGCCUUACUCCCGAAAAAUCACUCAACGCUGGUGAUAAGCUCGUUUCGAGCGGCGGCAUCUUUGCUCUUGGCUUCUUCACCCCGGCAAACUCAACUGCGGACACGUACAUCGGCAUAUGGUACAACAAGAUCCCUGAGCGCACUUAUGUGUGGGUCGCUAACCGCGACAAGCCGAUCAAGAAUGGUUCUCCUGGGAAGCUGGCUAUGAGCAGCAACUCUGACCUUGUCUUGUCUGACUCCCAAGGCCGAACUCUAUGGACAACCACAAACAACUUCACAUCCGCAACCACCGGAACUGCUGCUAUACUGUUUGAUUCCGGAAACUUGGUCAUCCGGUUGCCGAAUGGCACAGACAUAUGGCAGAGCUUCCAUUACCCGACUGACACCGCCCUCCCUGACAUGGUUUUACCACUGAGCACAAAUGAUGGUAUCUUGAUGCGCCUCAUUGCUUGGAGGGCCCCUGAUGACCCGGCCUCCAGCGACUACUCCAUGGGUGGUGACUCUAGCUCAGACCUUCAGGUUGUAAUCUGGAAUGGGACGAGACCGUAUUGGCGUAGAUCUGCGUGGGAUGGGUCAUUGGUCUCUGCCCUGUAUCAAAGCAACACUGGCUUCAUCGUAACUGAAACAAUUGUCGACAGAGGGGGUGAGUUAUACAUGACAUUCACCGUCUCUGAGGGCUCACCAAGCAUGCGCAUGACACUGGACUACAAAGGCACUUCUAAAUUUCUGGUGUGGAACAGCAACUCGUCAUCAUGGGAGGCUUUCAUAGAGCAACCUAGUCCUAUCUGUGAACGCUACGCUUAUUGCGGACCAUUUGGCUACUGUGAUGCCGCUGAAACAGUUCCGAAAUGCAACUGCCUCAGUGGGUUUGAGCCUGAUGGCGUUAACUUCUCCAGAGGAUGUCGGAGAAAGGAGGAUCUGAAAUGUGGUAUUGACAAUAAUUUCUCGACCCUGAGAGGUAUGAAGACACCUGACAAGUUCUUGUAUGUCAGGAACAGAAGUUUUGACCAAUGCACAGAAGAGUGCAGACGCAAUUGCUCUUGCUCCGCAUAUGCUUAUGCUAACCUGAGAAAUGGAAGUGCUUAUGCUAACCUGAAAAAUGGAAGUGGGGCUGCGGACCAGUCAAGGUGCUUAAUUUGGUUAGGAGGACUUGUCGACACGGGGGAAUUUCGUGAUGGUGGUGGUGAGAACCUGUACCUCCGCCUUGCCAGUUCAACAGUUGACAAGGAGAGUAAGGUAUUGAAGAUUAUACUCCCAAUAGUGGCUAGUCUGCUGAUACUCGCAUCCAUCUGCCUUGUGUGGAUAUGCAAGUCAAGAGGUAAACGACGAAUCAAGGAGAUUAAGAACAAACAUACGCCACAGCACUUGCAAAAUUCCAAGUUGAACGAACUUGAGAAUGAAAGUAUAGACCUUCCAUAUAUUUGCUUUGAAGACAUUGUUACUGCAACAGACAAUUUCUCAGACUACAAAAUGCUUGGGAAAGGUGGCUUUGGAAAAGUUUACAAGGGACUAUUAGGAGGUGGUGGUACGGAAGUUGCUGUCAAAAGGCUUAGUAAAAGUUCCGGCCAAGGGGCCGAGGAGUUCAGAAAUGAAGUUGUUCUAAUUGCCAAAUUACAGCAUAGAAACUUAGUUAGACUUCUUGGUUACUGCACUCAUGAAGAUGAGAAGUUAUUGAUAUAUGAAUACUUACCUAACAAAAGCUUGGAUGCCUUCCUUUUUGAUGCAACAAGAAAUUCUGUGCUUGAUUGGCUUACCCGGUUCAAGGUAAUUAAAGGGAUAGCAAGAGGGCUUCUUUAUCUCCACCAAGAUUCAAGGUUAACAAUAAUUCAUAGGGAUCUCAAAGCAAGCAAUGUCUUGUUAGAUGCAGAAAUGAACCCUAAAAUAUCAGAUUUUGGUAUGGCAAGGAUAUUUGGAGGAAAUGAGCAACAAGCGAACACUAUCCACGUUGUUGGGACAUAUGGUUACAUGUCUCCUGAAUAUGCAAUGGAAGGUUCCUUUUCUGUCAAGUCUGACACUUAUAGCUUUGGCGUUCUACUGUUGGAGAUUGCAAGCGGGUCAAAGAUCAGUUCAUCCCAUUUCAUGACGGACUUUACAAGCCUUAUAGCUUAUGCCUGGAGCUUAUGGAAAGAUGGAAAUGCAAGAGAAUUGGUGGACUCGUCCAUUGUGGAGAACUGUCCACUUCAUGAAGUUCUACGAUGUAUUCAUAUAGGUCUCUUGUGUGUUCAAGACAAUCCAAAUGCCAGGCCGCUCAUGUCAUCCACUGUGUUCAUGCUAGAAAAUGAAACGGCUCUGCUUCCUACUCCGAAGGAGCCUCUAUACUUUAGGCAACGGUAUGAUGAGGUUGAAGACCAAAGAGAUACCAUGGGAAUAACCCUGAAUAAGAUGACUAUCACUAUGCAAGAGGGACGUUAGAUGUUUAAUUCAUUGGUCUCCUUUUUUGUAAUCUUCUCCAGUUUGUACAGGUAGAGUGGGCAAAACUUCAGGCAUGGAGAACUAUUGAAAGUUCAGGUUCAACCUGACCAGAAAAGUAAGAAAAAAGUGGGGCUUCUGUGAAUAUCUCAGUAUCUAUCAGAAAGGUAGAAAGGUCCAUUUAAGUGAUCUUGAAGCGGCAUGGAACUUACUGAAAGAAGGAAAAUCGGGGAUUUCCUGGAGACAGUGCUUCUGAAGAGCUGUUUACUGCAUCAAGUGUCGCUGUGCAUUCAUAUUUGGCUCUUGUGUGCCAGGCCACUCAUGUGUUGGUCGUGUCUAUGCUGGACAGUGAGGCCGUGCCACUCACAACACCAGAGCAGCCUUUGUAUUUUGUUGGAAGGAGGCAUGAAGCGGAAGAAGCAAGGGAGGACUCUGUUAACAAGGCAAGCCUGACGACGCUAGCAGGGCGUUGGAUGCUUAUUAUUCCUUGCAGUGAGGUAAUCUGAGUGCCCUGGAACAUCAAAGGGAAGCAGAUUAUGAUUAACUUCCAAGUGGGCUUUAGUGGCCAACUGCUGGUGGAGAAUCCUCAUUCCCGUUGAUAUCGUGUCCUCCUCGAAUGGUUGGUCUAAAAUUAAUACUGAUGCUUGCUCUGAUCCAUUGACUGCUCAAUCUUGUUUCGGUGCUAUCGUUCGGAACAGCGCCGGUUGGCCGGUUCUUGCUGCUUGGACUCAUUGCCCAGUAUGGAAAACUGCUGGAAGUUCAGCUUCAUCCUCAACGAAAAGUCAGAAAAGUGGGGCUUCCUUGAAUCUCCCAGUGUCUAUCAGAAAGGAAGCAGAGUCAAGUUCUAUGACAACUGACAAGUGCACAAGCUUCUUUUGCCCCAAGAACAGGACAAUCAGAGGUUCAACUUUACAUCCAUGCCACAGGAAAAUUUGCGGGCCAAGGAGAAAUUAACAGUCAUCCACACAGAUAGACUCAGCAAGACCUAAAAGUGUAUUGGAAAUUGGUGCGAUACCACCAAAACGUAAAGCAGAGGAGAUGAGGUAUUAGCUUGUUGCUAGGGCAAAGUCUAGUUUCAGUGCAAGACUACAGUUGAGAUUCAGUCGUUUCUCGGCGUGUCAAACUUACCUGAAUUUUCGUGCCACGGUUCGCUUUCGGUUGAAUUUCAUCGCUCAUACCAGAAGAGACACGUAUGUAGUGCUCCUGCAGCUGGGAGAGCUCUGUUGAGUUCA